AUGGCGGAGACUCAGGCUUCCAGCCUGAAUACAUAUGACCUUGGCCAGAGCCCCAUCAAGUGUGGUGUGGGCAGUUUCUACUCAAAUGUGUUCCUAGUUAUAUCCAGGUGUGAGAGAGUUGCCCAAGCUCAGUCAGUGACUCAACCUGACACUCAUGUCACUGUCUCUGAAGAAGACUCUCUGCAGCUGAGAUGCACCUAUUCCUCCUCUGUGCCACCUUCCCUGUUCUGGGAUGUCCAGUACCCACAGCAGGGGCUGGAGAUGCUCCUCAGGUACUAUUCAGGAAACCCCAUGGUUCAAGGAAUGAAUGGCUUUGUGGCUGAGUUCAGCAAGAGUAACUCUUCCUUCCACCUGCGGAAAGCCUCUGUGCACUGGAGCGAUUCGGCUGUGUACUUCUGUGCUCUGAGCGCACAGUGUCUGGGGCUGUAG